UUGGACGUGGUGUAUGGUGCACACCCGCUCGGAUUAGACAGCGUAUGGCCUAGAAAGCGGAAAGCCCGGGUUCGACUCUCGGCGUCCGAA